CGUUCGGUGAAUAUCCGGAUGUGAUGACGGUACCCAAAGAAUAAGCACCGGCUAACUUCGUGCCAGCAGCCGCGGUAAUACGAAGGGUGCAAGCGUUACUCGGAAUCACUGGGCGUAAAGGGUGCGCAGGCGGUGUGUCAAGUCUGAUGUGAAAGCCCUGGGCUCAACCUGGGAACGGCAUUGGAAACGGGCACACUGGAGUACGGUAGAGGGUGGUGGAAUUCCUGGUGUAGCAGUGAAAUGCGUAGAGAUCAGGAGGAACAUCGGUGGCGAAGGCGACCACCUGGACCAGUACUGACGCUGAGGCACGAAAGCGUGGGGAGCAAACAGGAUUAGAUACCCUGGUAGUCCACGCCCUAAACGAUGCGAANNGGAUGUUGGGUUCAUAUUGGGACUCAGUAUCGAAGCUAACGCGUUAAGUUCGCCGCCUGGGGAGUACGGUCGCAAGACUGAAACUCAAAGGAAUUGACGGGGGCCCGCACAA
rnacentral:rRNA from 1 species